rnacentral:rRNA from 1 species
ACUCAAAUGAAUUGACGGGGGCCCGCACAAGCGGUGGAGCAUGUGGUUUAAUUCGACGCAACGCGAAGAACCUUACCUGGGUUAGACAUCCCUCGCUACCCCUAGAAAUAGGGGGUUCUACUUCGGUAGACGAGGUGACAGGUGCUGCAUGGCUGUCGUCAGCUCGUGUCGUGAGAUGUUGGGUUAAGUCCCGCAACGAGCGCAACCCUUGUCUCCUGUUGCCACCAUUUAGUUGGGCACUCUGGAGAGACUGCCGGUGUUAAACCGGAGGAAGGUGGGGAUGACGUCAAGUCCUCAUGGCCUUUGAUGCCCAGGGCUACACACGUGCUACAAUGGCCGGUACAAAGAGACGUAAAGCCGCGAGGUAGAACAAAUCUCAAAAAACCGGCCCCAGUACAGAUUGGAGUCUGCAACUCGACUCCAUGAAGGCGGAAUCGCUAGUAAUCGCUAAUCAGCAGGUAGCGGUGAAUACGUUCCCGGGCCUUGCACACACCGCCCGU